UCCCUGUGUCUGCAGCAUGGGAGGGAAACUCUGCCUUUGGCUGAAAUCGUCCUAACAGAGAGAUACUUCUGUAUCCGUUCAUAUCUAUGAGCCUAUAGACAUGGAUCUUCCCAUGAUAUCCAACACCGUCUUUCACAAAGAGGGGAUAUUUAAGGUGGGGGGGGACAAGUGUGGCACUGGUCCUUUAUCGUGUUUGGCUCGGCGAAACAAAUCGAGAUGACAGCGCCAACGGAGCUAAACAAAAACACCCACCGCCACAAGGCAUUCCUCCACGAAGGGCGUGAGCAUGUGUGGCCGGAUGGUGACCAUGAUGUCCCUGAAGUCCAGAGUGGAGAUGGAGCCACUGUGGGCUUGUGUCCUGCUGGAGAAAAGCCUGUUGUGUCCGCGGGGACAACAGCAGGCUGUGGUGGGGACAGAUCCCAUAAGGCCUCUGAAAUUAGCAGCCAUUAUUGGUACCUGCAACCACAAGUCUACAGAGAGAGGCGGUAAACAAACCGCUUACCACCGAUGCUUUCUCUGUCGAAUACAGUAAGACAGUUGGGUACAGGAAAACACAGGGCUUUCAGGACAAUGGUCCACAAAGAGCCACUGAGAAAUCCAAGCAUGAGUACUGAGGCGAGGCUUUUGACUCACCUGCAGUGGAUUCUUGUGGCCUUUAGACUAAGAAAGCAAGACAGUGACAAACCAUGAGGUUAUUGUAUGUUUUCAUGCACAGGUUUUUGUGCCAAAUGGCAGCACAUUACA